AUUGAACGCUAGCGGCAGGACUAACACAUGCAAGUCGAGCGAGCGGCGGACGGGUAAGUAAUGUCUGGGGACUGCACGAUAGAGGGGGAUAACUACUGGAAACGGUGGCUAAUACCGAAUCCUGUCGGAUCACACAUAGGGGAUUAGCUAGUAGGUAAGGUAAUGGCGUACCUAGGCGACGAUCCCUAGCUGGUCUGAGAGGAGGAUCAGCCAUACGGGGAAGGAGACACGGCCCAGAGUCCUACGGAGGCAGCAGUGGGGAAUAUUGCACAAUGGGCGAAAGCCUGAUGCAGCCAUGCCGAGUGUAGGAAGAAGGCCCUAGGGUUGUAAAGUACUUGCAGUCGGGAGGCGUUACCGACAGAAGAAGCACCGGCUAACUCCGUGCCAGCAGCCGCGGUAAUAC
rnacentral:rRNA from 1 species